CAAAGUAUGCCACAUGCCAAACGAAAAAAUUAUGAAACAAUAAAUAAAAUGCUAAUUGGCCCUACAAAAAAUGGUUUAUUAUGGAACCGUCACUUGAGGCAAUUGCAGAGCAUUAAUAAUCUUACGGAAAGCCUACAAUCAUUUGUUAUAGCUGCUAUGGCUUAUAAUGGGAAAAGAUUAUGCAAAUCUCAAGCUGGAGUAUGUCAAUUUAUAUUAAUUUGUGUCUGUGUCUUCCGGAUAAGAAUAAAACACUCUGCAGUGUUUAUAUAUUCUUUUGA
rnacentral:sRNA from 1 species